rnacentral:lncRNA from 1 species
GCCUAAUCGGGACCAAAGACCACCCCCAAUACCCAACCAUAACCACCUUACACCCUAUGUCAGAUGGAUUCCAAACAUAUAAUAGGAUAGAACAAUCAUAAAUCAAAGACAAUCAAAUGGUAUCAACCUCAAUACCAAUGCCAAGGAUGACACCAAUAUUGACACUGCUCAUGCCCAAAGUAGUCUCAUAAAGCCUCUAAUUGAAAUCAAAACAAUAUCUAGUAGGGACAUGCCCCCGAC